rnacentral:rRNA from 1 species
GUUCGUAGGUGAACUGCGGAGGAUCAUUA